AUACAGACCCCUAAUUUGGAUCGCGAUUAUUGAUCGCGAUCCGAAUAUUUGCAACAUGCCCCUAUAUAUUUUCAUAUUGCCCCCUAAUUUGGAUUGGGCCCUCCUCCCUCCCGUCCGGCGACGUCCGCCGCCGUCCUCCGGCCGUGCCGGGAGCGCGGAGCGCUAGCGCCCCAUGCAUCCUCCCUACCAAGGCGCCAAUUCACUCGUGCGCUCCUGGCCUCCUGGCUCCUGCAGGACGUAGCUCCAUCUCACCGGACGGCAGAGGGCAGAGGCCCGCGCGACAGGGCUCGCACCCAGGCCGAUCAUGUCGAACUCCAGCGGUGACGGGUCUGAGAUUGUGAAGAUGCUACAUCUGCUGGUCUCUACUCUAUCGCUGAAACGUCAUAGCCGAGGGCCUUUGCAAAUUGCAAGGUUGAGCACCUCCCGUGGUUCGCUCCGCUCCUCCUCCUGACCUCUUCCCGCAGGCCCCCAUAUCUUCUCUGUCCUGCCCAAUUUAUGGCCUUCGCAUAAGUUUCAACUGCCAUGGCCCAUGGGCCAUGGCCGUUCGUUUCGCUUUCCCCGCUCCAAACAACUCACCGCCUUACACCGAAGCCCCGCGCCGGCGCUGGCGCCGGCGGCUCGUCCGCACGGGAUGCGUACGCUCUACUCCGCCGUGAAGAGGAGGAUCAACUUGAGGCUGCGUCGCCCGCCUCUUGCCUCCCCAGCUACUCCUCCUCGCCACGGCUGUCACAGCCACAGCAGCUGCGGCCCUCGCGAGGCCGCCGUCUCGCACGACUCGCUCCUCCUCCGGCUGCAGUCGGGCCCCGUGCUCGCGGAGGUGCGGAGACUGCACGCUGCCCUGCUGGUCCGCGGGUACCGUCGCAGCACCGUCCUCGCCGCGCAGCUGGUGCGCGCGUACGCCAGGCUCGGGGACGCAGGGCUCGGGCACGCGCUACGCGUGUUCGACGGAAUGCCUAGGAGGAACUCCUUCGCGUGGAACGCGGUGAUCAAGGCCCUCGUUGACGCCGGCAGGUUCUCGGAAGCGCUGGAGCGCUACUGGGACAUGGUCAGUGACGGCUUGGUCGCUGCUGACCGUUUCACGUACCCGCCUGUUCUAAAAGCGUGCGCGGUGCUUGGAGCGAUUGAGCAGGGGAGAAGGGUCCGAGAGAACAUUGAGAUAGAAAUUGCCGGUGGCAGUGUGGUGCCCAAUGUGUUUGUGCAGUGUGCGCUCGUGGACAUGUUUGCCAAGUGUGGGUGCUUGGGUGAAGCGAGGAGUGUGUUUGAGAGCAUGGGAGUAAGGGACUUGGCUGCAUGGACUGCGAUUAUUGGAGGGGCCGUGCAUGAAGGGGACUGGUUCGAGGUGAUGAAUCUGUUCAAUCGCAUGAGGUCAGAAGGGUUCCUGCCUGAUUCUGUGAUUUUCGCCACUGUUAUUCCAGCAUGUGGUAGAGUGAAAGAGCUGAGGACUGGAAUGGCAUUGCAGGGAUGUGCAGUAAGAUGUGGAGUCGGUGAUGAUACCCGUGUUUCUAAUGCUUUAGUUGAUAUGUACUGCAAAUGUGCUUAUCUGGAUAUGGCAGCUUCUCUGUUUUGGUCUAUUGAUUGCAAGGAUGUAGUAUCUUGGAGCACCAUAAUCGCGGGGCAUUCACAAAAUGGAAUGUAUUGCUCAAGUGUCAAAUUGUUUACUGAAAUGGUUUCUUCAGGAGUAAAACCUAAUUCGACUACUCUGGCAACCAUACUUCCUAGUCUUUCAGAGCUGAAGUUAUCCAGGUAUGGAAAAGCAAUUCAUUGCUUCUCUGUAAGAAAUGGACUCGAUCGCAGUGAGUUUCUGGUGAGUGCAUUCAUUGACUUCUACAGUAAACAAGGACUCAUCGGGGAAGCAGAAACUGUAUUUGAGUUCACGCCUAAGAAAGAUUUAGUCAUUUGGAAUUCAAUGGUUGGAGGAUAUGCUGUGAAUGUGGAUUAUGAGUCUGCAUUACAUGCAUUAAGGGAACUGCAGAAAGUGGGACUUAGACCUGAUCAUGUGACUGUUGUUUCAGUUCUUCCGCUAUGCAAUCGACACUCCUGGCUCAUUCAGGGUAAGGAACUACAUGCUUAUGCCAUCAGGCAUAACAUAAGUUCAGUUUGCUCAGUUAGUAAUGCACUUAUAGAUAUGUACUGCAAGUGUGGUUGCCUAGAAAUAGCCAGCAGGAUAUUUCUAAUAAUGACAGAGCGCAAUACCAUUACAUACAACACUCUGAUGUCUUCUCUUGGAAAGCAUGGUCAUGACGAUCAAGCAUUCAUUCUUUUUGACCUAAUGAAGAGAGAUAGAAUUUUUCCAGAUAAAGUGACUUUUGUAGCUCUGUUAUCAUGUUGUAGCCAUGCAGGCCUUAUUGAUAAGGGCUUGUGCUUCUACGAUUCCAUGUUGCAGGACUAUAACAUCUCUCCAGAUAAGGAGCACUAUUCAUGCAUUGUUGACCUUUAUAGCAGAUCUGGGAAGCUUGAUGAUGCUUGGAGUUUUAUUACAAAUUUACAAGAAGUGCCAGAAAUCGAUGUUCUUGGGUGUCUAUUGUCAGCGUGCAGAGAGCAUAAUAGAAUGGACGUUGCUGAGCUUGUUGCAGAAAGAAUAUUUGAACAAAACCCCAGCGAUCCUGGUUAUCACAUUCUGCUGUCUAACAUCUAUGCGAAUGCUGGAAUGUGGUCUGAUGUGACUAGGAUAAGAACUAUGAUAGGAGAGAGGAACUUGAAGAAGAGAACAGGAAAUAGCUUGAUUUGACCAUCAGCUUGUGGUUCCUCAUACAUAUUCAUGUGUAUUUUGAAGGGAAAAAAAAAGAGCAUGGAACAAACAAGUAGAUAGGAAAUCCAAAAUUCCGUGACUGCCAUUUUCAAUGGUAACAUACAGAACUUUCAAAAAUGUGCAUGGUCGCUUAAUACCAUACCCUGGAUACAUAAGGCGAGGUCAAGUGUAAAACUGCUGAUAUAAAGGACAGCUCUAGCUACUUGAGAAUUAGUGAUAAGCCUGGGAGGGAGACUGGGAGAGCACCAGAGCAACAGCUACUGCAUCAAUACACUGUUCAGAGGGUUUUCUCUGGCGGAAAUUUUCGUAUUUGUGGGCAUAGGCGGUCACUAUCCACUGCUCCGAAGUCUUUUUGUGCUGCCUGCAGUUCUGAAGAAAUAGAAGUAAUGCAGCGCACAUACGACCCUCGGAUGCUUCUGCAAUUUAGAAGAACUGUGGAUUUUACGAGAUCAAAUUUGAAUUCUUCCAGUUUUUUUUCUGUUCGACUUUUUUUGUUGAUUGUGGAAAUAUUGUUUGACGUGAUUCGUGGGGCUUAUUUGCACAGGCAGACAGUAGGACCUCACAUAUCAAUGCAGUCUUUACUCAUGAAUCAGUUCACUUGUUGCUAUCAUAUACAACAAUGGUGUCUCCAUCAAUGGAUGUCAAAAGCAGAAAGAGCACCAAAAGUAGAAUUAGUAAAGCACCCGGAUUUCACUGAUGAUGCAUCAUAUGCAAUGCACAAGGGCAGUUAAUCAAUGAAGGUUCUGGGCCAACACGAAGAAGUGGGCUCACUUCAUGUCUUCAUCAGAUAGUGGAUACCCUGCUUGUCCUACUGAGAGCUGCUGCUAUCUGAAGUUUGUGCAUAGGAUUGAGUACAACAACGUGGCCUACAUUAUUACAGCCUUCUUCCAAUUCAGCUUCCUGGAAUCUAUGGAUAGAGUAGAUUGACUUGCAAGCUUCAAGAAAGCAAAGCUCAAAGCGAACGGGCAUCCUUAUCCGAUCCAGGUCACAUCUGUUCAUCGACUCUAUCAAAGCUCCAGUGGCCGGUGUGAUGUGAUUUGGACCACCUGCCAUCCUGCAACGAUAAGGACGCCCCUGGGAACGGGGUACCGGCCCACGCCCUCUCGACGUGCUGCACCCACCGGCCACCGACGACUCUCUGAAUUCACGGCCAUGGCUCGCUUGGCUAUCAGCCUACAUCACCCAGAAGUAAACGUGUAGCAGCUGCAGCCUGCAAGAGACGAGCUUGGGUGCUUGUUUGGUUUGGUCUGAUGAUUCGUUGGCACUGCCUGCCAUUGCAGGACAGUGGUGUUUGAUAGCGGCCUGUCGGGGGUGGUCCGGGUCCAUUCAUCAUCAUUCAUGGGCGUUGCCGCGUUGGAAUGGGCAAUGGCGUGGCCGCCUGGCCGGUGGGUGCCGACAUGUCCACACUCCACAGGCCAUUCUACUAUUGUAAUUGUCUAGCAAGGUUUAUACAUUACGUGGUUUUCAAGAACAUUAUGCAUCAUGUCACACUGGUAAUUUGAAAUUAUGCUGAUGUGAUCCUUAACUCCU